AUACUUACCUGGCAGGGGAGACACCAUGAUCUGGAAGGUGGUUUUCCCAGGGUAAUUGUCUCUGAUAUGUCCUCCAUAGGAGGUCUAUAUUGAACAGAUUCUUUUUGAUAUUGGUUGGUGGACCUGGAGUGUGCUCCAUCCACUC
rnacentral:snRNA from 1 species